rnacentral:rRNA from 1 species
GACGAACGCUGGCGGCGUGCUUAACACAUGCAAGUCGAACGGAAAGGCCCUGCUUUUGUGGGGUGCUCGAGUGGCGAACGGGUGAGUAACACGUGAGUAACCUGCCCUUGACUUUGGGAUAACUUCAGGAAACUGGGGCUCAUACCGGAUAGGAGCUCCUGCUGCAUGGUGGGGGUUGGAAAGUUUCGGCGGUUGGGGAUGGACUCGCGGCUUAUCAGCUUGUUGGUGGGGUAGUGGCUUACCAAGGCUUUGACGGGUAGCCGGCCUGAGAGGGUGACCGGCCAAAUGGGGACUGAGAUACGGCCAAGACUCAUACGGGAGGCAGAAGGGGGGAAGAUUGCACAAUGGGCGGAAGCCUGAUGCAGAAACGCCGCGUGCGGGAUGACGGCCUUCGGGUGGUAAACCGCUUUCGCCUGUGACGAAGCGUGAGUGACGGUAAUGGGUAAAGAAGCACCGGCUAACUACGU